GAGGAAAAGAAACCAACAGGGAUUGCCCCAGUAGCGGCGAGUGAAGCGGCAAGAGCUCAGAUUUGAAAUCGUGUUUCGGCACGAGUUGUAGAGUGUAGGCGGGAGUCUCUGUGGAGCGCGGUGUCCAAGUCCCUUGGAACAGGGUGCCUGAGAGGGUGAGAGCCCCGUAGGGUGCUGCGCGAAGCUUUUGAGGCCCUGCUGACGAGUCGAGUUGUUUGGGAAUGCAGCUCCAAGCGGGUGGUAAAUUCCAUCUAAGGCUAAAUAUUGGCGAGAGACCGAUAGCGAACAAGUACUGUGAAGGAAAGAUGAAAAGCACUUUGAAAAGAGAGUGAAACAGCACGUGAAAUUGUUGAAAGGGAAGGGUAUUGGGCUCGACAUGGGGGGUGCGCACCGCUGUCUCUUGUAGGCGGCGCUCUGGGCGCCCUCUGGGCCAGCAUCGGUUCCUGCUGCGGGAGAAGGGGCUCCGGAAAGUGGCUCUUCGGAGUGUUAUAGCCGGGGCCAGAUGCCGCGUGUGGGGACCGAGGACUGCGGCUUCUGUCUCGGAUGCUGGCAUAACGGCGCAAUACCGCCC
rnacentral:rRNA from 2 species